CAUAAAUACCUGCUAGAUGCCUGGAGGAACCUGUUAGAAGACUGUCACGAGGGGUAAUGAAGGUCUGAAGCUGGGAGAGGAGAAAGCGCGAAAAGAAAUAGAAGAUCCAGCUGCCAAGUCACCAACUUAAAUAAUAGCUCCACACACAUGACAUCAUAAUAGUCUCCACAGCAACUGUGAAUGAUAUUACAAACCUGUCUGUGACUAAAUGGGAAAGAUAAGCAAGAAGACAAGAGUAGACAAUCUCCUAAGCAACAAAUGCGCCUUUUCCAUGGAAACACCGCCUUGUGGAAAAGAAAGGAAACACAGAUAAUAGACAAAGGGUUGAGGAGAAAAUCCAAACCCCUUCACAGUCAUCCCAGUUCCUUGUGAAAACGCCCUUCGUUUCUCCAUCAAGGCGAAGUUCCAGAACUGCUCCCCAUUCAUUCUGGAGCUAGCACAUCUGAGAAACUUCAGUGUCUUCUGGGUUACAGUCAUUGGCCCCCAAAAGGACCUAUGCCAUGUCAGUUGAUGGUCAUUGGCACUAAUUCAACACCAACAGGAAUCCCCAGUUUGGGGUGGUGACUGGGGAGACUUCAUUCAGUGUAAUAAGUUCACCUGUGAUACAGCAAAGCUGUGGAGCAGCAGAACUGUGAGACGGCUCACUAGUGUUACAGCUCAAUUACGAUACAGCACACGGGCUAUGAGGUCAAAAACCAACAAAAGAGAGAACAAAUUCAACAAACAUGGAAAUCCUGGGCCAGGAAGUACCACCAUAAUGUUCGGGAUGAAAAGCAAUUUGUGCUGUGGACAGAAUGCAUUUCUCUCCCACUGUAAGCAGAGCCCUUUAAAAGCCUGUCAGGAAAUAAAUAAAACAC